rnacentral:rRNA from 1 species
UACGUAGGGGGCUAGCGUUGUCCGGAAUCAUUGGGCGUAAAGCGCGUGUAGGCGGUCCGGUAAGUCCGCUGUGAAAGUCGGGGGCUCAACCCUCGGAUGCCGGUGGAUACUGUCGGGCUUGAGUACGGAAGAGGCGAGUGGAAUUCCUGGUGUAGCGGUGAAAUGCGCAGAUAUCAGGAGGAACACCAAUUGCAAAGGCAGCUCGCUGGGACGUUACUGACGCUGAGACGCUGAAGCGUGGGGAGCAAACAGG